UACGGAGGGGGCUAGCGUUGUUCGGAAUUACUGGGCGUAAAGCGCACGUAGGCGGCUUUGUAAGUUAGAGGUGAAAGCCCAGGGCUUAACCCUGGAAUUGCCUUUAAGACUGCAUCGCUAGAAUUGUGGAGAGGUAAGUGGAAUUCCGAGUGUAGAGGUGAAAUUCGUAGAUAUUCGGAAGAACACCAGUGGCGAAGGCGACUUACUGGACACAUAUUGACGCUGAGGUGCGGAAGCGUGGGGAGCAAACAGG
rnacentral:rRNA from 1 species